rnacentral:rRNA from 1 species
GGGAAUCUUAGACAAUGGGGGAAACCCUGAUCUAGCCAUGCCGCGUGAGCGAUGAAGGCCUUAGGGUUGUAAAGCUCUUUCGCCUGGGAAGAUAAUGACGGUACCAGGUAAAGAAGCCCCGGCUAACUCCGUGCCAGCAGCCGCGGUAAUACGGAGGGGGCUAGCGUUGUUCGGAAUUACUGGGCGUAAAGCGCACGUAGGCGGAUCGGAAAGUUGGGGGUGAAAUCCCGGGGCUCAACCCCGGAACUGCCUCCAAAACUAUCGGUCUUGAGUUCGAGAGAGGUGAGUGGAAUUCCGAGUGUAGAGGUGAAAUUCGUAGAUAUUCGGAGGAACACCAGUGGCGAAGGCGGCUCACUGGCCCGAUCCUGACGCUGAGGCGCGAAAGCGUGGGGAGCAAA